rnacentral:rRNA from 1 species
UACGAAGGGGGCUAGCGUUGUUCGGAAUCACUGGGCGUAAAGCGCACGUAGGCGGAUUUUUAAGUCAGGGGUGAAAUCCCGGGGCUCAACCUCGGAACUGCCUUUGAUACUGGAGAUCUUGAGUCCGGAAGAGGUAAGUGGAACUGCGAGUGUAGAGGUGAAAUUCGUAGAUAUUCGCAAGAACACCAGUGGCGAAGGCGGCUUACUGGUCCGGAACUGACGCUGAGACGCGAAAGCGUGGGGA